CGCUCAGUCCUACCUUUCGUUAGUUGGCUCGUCUUAAAAGUAGCUGGCCCACAUAUCAUCCCCUUAGUAAUCCACGACACGCGUUCCCGUUCGCGUCGACGUUUACACCGCCACGGAAUACACUGAUCCGCUCGGAAUCUCUUUCUCUGUCUUUCGCUCCGCUGGUUUAUCGUCCAAAAACGAACAAGAAUUUUUUCGUGUACCGCAACCGCAACUGGAUAUUACUCUUUAGAUCGGAUAUAAAAGACGCUUGUGACAAUUCUACUGGAUGACAUUGGACUCAAUCGUCGAUUGCCACAGAAUGGCUGAGUAAGAACUGUGGUCGCAGGAGGCACGAAAUGAUUCCAGUAGAAAUUAAAUCCAUUCGCAGCCUGCUUGGAAAACCCCGGAACGGCGUGAACUUGUGCCAGUUUUCGUUGCGUCUUUCGAAAAAUCUGUUCCCUUAUCUGUGAGCGAGAGUUCCUUUCACUGUACAGUUCGACCAGAAAGGAAGUCGAAAAUUCAAGGAAAUCCGUAGCAAACGGAUAAGAGAGAUACACGAAGUAUCGAGGAAAGAGAAAAGUCAGAAGACAGAUUGUAUCGAGACCAAAGAAACAGC